rnacentral:tRNA from 2 species
GGCGCCAUGGUCAAGCGGUUAAGACACCACCCUUUCACGGUGGUAACACGAGUUCGAUUCUCGUUGGCGUCA